CUCAACCUGGGAACUGCAUUGGUGACUGGCAGGCUAGAGUAUGGCAGAGGGGGGUAGAAUUCCACGUGUAGCAGUGAAAUGCGUAGAGAUGUGGAGGAAUACCGAUGGCGAAGGCAGCCCCCUGGGCCAAUACUGACGCUCAUGCACGAAAGCGUGGGGAGCAAACAGGAUUAGAUACCCUGGUAGCCCACGCCCUAAACGAUGUCAACUAGUUGUUGGGGAUUCAUUUCCUUAGUAACGUAGCUAACGCGUGAAGUUGACCGCCUGGGGAGUACGGUCGCAAGAUUAAAACUCAAAGGAAUUGACGGGGACCCGCACAAGCGGUGGAUGAUGUGGAUUAAUUCGAUGCAACGCGAAAAACCUUACCUACCCUUGACAUGGUCGGAAUCCCGCUGAGAGGUGGGAGUGCUCCA
rnacentral:rRNA from 1 species